rnacentral:rRNA from 2 species
UUGUCCUGUGACUGCGUACCUUUUGUAUAAUGGGUCAGCGACUUAUAUUCAGUGGCAAGGUUAACCAUCUAGGGGAGCCGUAGGGAAACCGAGUCUUAACUGGGCGUUCAGUCUCUGGAUAUAGACCCGAAACCAGGUGAUCUAGCCAUGGGCAGGUUGAAGGUUGAGUAACAUCAACUGGAGGACCGAACCGACUAAUGUUGAAAAAUUAGCGGAUGACUUGUGGCUAGGGGUGAAAGGCCAAUCAAACCUGGAGAUAGCUGGUUCUCCCCGAAAGCUAUUUAGGUAGCGCCUCGGACGAAUACUACUGGGGGUAGAGCACUGUUAAGGCUAGGGGGUCAUCCCGACUUACCAACCCUUUGCAAACUCCGAAUACCAGUAAGUACUAUCCGGGAGACACACGGCGGGUGCUAACGUCCGUCGUGGAGAGGGAAACAACCCAGACCGCCAGCUAAGGUCCCAAAUUACUACUAAGUGGGAAACGAUGUGGGAAGGCUCAGACAGCCAGGAUGUUGGCUUAGAAGCAGCCAUCAUUUAAAGAAAGCGUAAUAGCUCACUGGUCGAGUCGGCCUGCGCGGAAGAUGUAACGGGGCUAAGUAGUAAACCGAAGCUGCGGCAAU